ACGUAUGUCACAAGGUUAUUCCUUUGCCAGGCUAUUGUUGUGCUUCUUCCUUUGAUCAUGGCAGGAUUUUGGCUCCUUUGUGCAACCCAUCUUCCCCUCUUUUUUGCUUACACUUUGGCCGGCGCUUGGGUUCUAGAAUCAGCCCCUGUUUGUGCUGUCUCCAUAUAACAGAAAGAACCAAGGAGGUGCGCCACUGGAGCCAGCUAUCAGUUAGGUGGUUAGAUUAGUUGAUCAAGUCCACAUGUCCAUCUUGUAUUGCUUUGUACAGUUGAGUUAGUGAGUUGGUUAGUUUGUUGAUAUCAUUUUCUAUUACACACCACCUUGCAAUGUACUGAUUUGAUUUUCUCUUCGAUUCAAUACGAUGGAAUUCAUUUUUCCUGCUUCAUUUUUUAAUAUGGUAUCAGAGCUUUUGUGCUUCUAUUGUCUGCUUCUCUGAAAUUCAAUUGAAUCUUCGAUUGAAUUUCUUUUGGCAUGUAAUGGCAUCGGCAGCAAACAAUUCCUCGUCAUCAAUAAGGAUUCUACCACUGAUGAUGGGUCUAGUCCUUUCUAUAUUCACCAUUAAAACAACCCGAGGCUUGUGCUUGUUUAAUUAUAUAUUCAAGAAUAUUAUAUGACAUGACAAAAGAUUCAUAUACCCAAAUUAAAUUUAUUGAAAAAGACUUUUGGUAACGUAUGAGCAUUUUUUUGAGACUUUUUAAAUACAAGAUGAUUCUUAUUUUCUAAAGAUUCUUUAUUCUGACUCUAGAAUGAUUGCAUUUAUGAAUUUCAAUACUCUACUUAAAUUUUUUAGAUAAUAUUUGAAUUGAUGAUCAUUUACAUAUGGUGGGAAUUUUUGAUGCAAAAUAAAUUCGAGGCUAUAAUGAACAAAUCGAGUUGGCUUUUUUAUUCAUAGGCUUCGUUAGAAGUUCGAGAUUGAAUAUUUAAUCACAUAAGCCCAAAACCACAACUGGAAGCCCACGAAUCUAAGUCGGACCGAGUGUUUCAUUUAGGGCUCAACCCACUUAUUUAACCUAAAUGGAACUACAUAUCUUGGCCUCCUUUUUUCGCUAUACACGUAUGUCACAAGGUUAUUCCUUUGCCAGGCUAUUGUUGUGCUUCUUCCUUUGAUCAUGGCAGGAUUUUGGCUCCUUUGUGCAGGGCCGGUCUUGUGAUGGUCGGGGCUCGAGGCGAAUUUUAUAAAUUAGGUCCUGACGAAAUCAGUGUAAAUGUAAAAUUCAACAGUAUAUUAUGCGACCUAUUGCUAAUUUAAAAUACGACUUUCCCUUUUAAAGCGGAUUUAGAAUGAAAGAAUUGUAAAAUAUAGUAAUAUCUUUGCAAAGUUUUUGUACAAAAAUAAGACGACGACAUGAAUUUAACAAAUAUAAUCACAUAAAUAUCUAUCUUCACAAAAUUUUUAUACAAAAAUAAGACAAUGACAUAAAUAUUUAUAGACAUCCAUUUAUAAAAUUCAUCAAAUUUCACAUCAUUUUCAAGAAAAUAAACCCCAAAUUUAACCAUUUUAGAUCUUGUCUUCAAUAAAUUUACAUCAAAUCCCGCACCAUUAGAUCUGAACUGUUUUGCCUUGUUCAGUCUUGGGCCUGAGACGAGGGCCUCAUUUGCCUUGCCUUAGGACCGACCAUGCCUUUGUGCAACCCAUCUUCCCCUCUUUUUUGCCUACACUUUGGCCGGCGCUUGGGUUCUAGAAUCAGCCCCUGUUUGUGCUGUCUCUUUAUAACAGAUAGAAGACUAACAGAAAGAACCAAGGAGGCGCGCCACUGAAGCCAGCUAUCAGUUAGGUGGUUAGAUUAGGUGAUCAAGGCCACAU
rnacentral:lncRNA from 1 species